rnacentral:tRNA from 3 species
UCCGGCAUAGCUCAAUGGUAGAGCAAUCGGCUGUUAACCGAUCGGUUGUAGGUUCGAGUCCUACUGCCGGAG